AGUGUGACAACACAGGCUUCACUGACCAAGAAGACACUAAACUGUUGCACAAUCAGGGAUUUUGCAUUUGGCACUUUAAUAUCAGUGCAUCCUUGUGUCUCUGGAUUUGAUGUGUAAUUCUUGCUCACUUGGACAUGAAAAUUGUUCUGGAGCAUCAAAUGAUGAAUAAGUCAAUCUACAACACAUCCAGUGGAAAACCUACCAUUCCACCAAAACCAAACCUUAAUGCUUCACACCAGUCAAGCCACUUUGGAUCCUCUAGCAGAGUGGCUCAUGCUUUGCGUAACUUUGAACAAGGAAUGGGCAAGCAAACGGCAGUAAACUACAACAGCAAAGAAAGAAGAUACUCUGAAAAUAUGAGCCAAGAUGGAAGGUCUGUGGUAGUCGGAGCUAGAUUGUCAUGUCCACCCAGGACAAAAGACAAAGUAGAGGAUAUAUCUUCAUUUUCAAGACUUACGAAAGGUGGACGGAUGCUGGGAGAAAGAAAUCUUCAACUGGCAGUAGAUGACGUGGAUGUGGGUCGAUCAGCUCCUGAUGGCAGUGAGGUGAAUAAUGUGAGUGGCAUCAAAGAGAAUAAUCAGGGCUCAACUGCACCACCUACCCACUCAGAGGAGAAACACUGUCAUUGCCUCUGCCAUCUUCAAAGGCCUGGUAUGAAACUAGUCUGGGUAACUCUACAUGAGGAGAAAAAUGACAUGGAUACUGUGAUUGAAAAGAAUCACAAACAUCAAAACAAAGGAAGUCAGAGAAAUAAGGAUGUUUUACACCCAACCAGCAAUGAAGUCAGUUGUCCACAGAACAGUCCAUCUCCUAAUUCAAAACCCCAAGUGUUGCCUCCAUGUAUAAAUUGCCAAAGCUUUCUACUUCACCACAGCCCUAACAAAUUAGCGGGGAAUGGAUUUGCAUAUGCUGAUGAGCCAGUUCAAAACCAAUCAAAACCCCCUUUACCACCAAGGACUUAUCAGUCUUCUGGGUAUAAAAAUACUCAACGGUAUGCACAGCUGGAGCACACCGAUACUCAUAUAUAUUUGGAUGUUUUGCCAUCAAAUGACAAUAAAGUUACCCCUCCACCUGUCCCUCCUCGACCUCCCCCACGACUUCCUCUACAUCCUCCGUCCCACCGAAAGACAAAGAAACGGACUUCCCAGCCAGCGCUGGCAUGUGUAGUCUCUCUUCGAGGCGGCGGUCCACCAAUCAGAAACACCAGCAGCAGUGAGAAUGGAAAAUUGUCUCGACGCAUAUCUAUACCAAACCCAUUAGGUGAGAGCUAUGAAAAUGGUGAUUUUGAAGACUGGGAGUCUAUUGACAAGGAAGCGUAA
ensembl:lncRNA